rnacentral:lncRNA from 1 species
CUUAUGUGUAAGAGCUGUAACAAAGUUUGUUAUUUAUGCACAGUGUUUAGUAAAACAUCAAUGAAAUUACAUUAUUGGUUUAACUUCGUCGGUUUAGUUAACAAUAAGAGGAAUAUGUUCCUGGCUCUUGGAAUAAACACAAAUACACAAUUGUUAUUCACUUUGGAAAAAAAUGGUACAAAGUGUUCAAUCAAAGCGUAGAAAGAUCUUGGGCGCUUGAAAUGUUCCAGCUUGUCUCUCUUCAAGCAUCAAGACUGUACUUAACCUCAUAAAAAAACUGAGUGAAAGGAAAAGAAUCCGAACAAUCUGCAUACAUUACAAAAAAUAUAUAAACAGAUAGAGCCUUCAUAUACAGUCUAGAAAGCAGAUUACAUUGGCUAAAAGUUUGAAGCCCAAACUAAAUGUCCCUAAGGAGAAUCUGAUGUCCCUGUCUUUUUAUCGUCUAUAUGCAUGCCUUAAUUGAUGUGUAGGUGAUGACUAAUCGACUCCUAAAACUAAUUAUAAUUGAAAAGAGAUACAACAACUCUUAGAAAUAAGGAUUUUAAGAAUCCGGAGGAGGAAACACAUACCAGAAAAGAGGAAGAACAAAUAUGAGGAAGAAAAAACAGAGAAAAAAAAAACAUAGAAUAAGAGACAGAGAAGAAGAAAUAUAAAACAGAGACA